rnacentral:tRNA from 1 species
AUUAAAGUGGCAGAUUAGUGCAAUGGAUUUAAGCUUCAUAUAUGGAAGAGUGUCUUCUCUUUAAUG